rnacentral:rRNA from 1 species
AUUGAACGCUGGCGGCAGGCCUAACACAUGCAAGUCGAACGGUAACAGGAAGAAGCUUGCUUCUUUGCUGACGAGUGGCGGACGGGUGAGUAAUGUCUGGGAAACUGCCUGAUGGAGGGGGAUAACUACUGGAAACGGUAGCUAAUACCGCAUAACGUCGCAAGACCAAAAAGGGGGACCUUCGGGCCUCUUGCCAUCGGAUGUGCCCAGAUGGGAUUAGCUAGUAGGUGGGGUAACGGCUCACCUAGGCGACGAUCCCUAGCUGGUCUGAGAGGAUGACCAGCCACACUGGAACUGAGACACGGUCCAGACUCCUACGGGAGGCAGCAGUGGGGAAUAUUGCACAAUGGGCGCAAGCCUGAUGCAGCCAUGCCGCGUGUAUGAAGAAAGCCUUCGGGUUGUAAAGUACUUUCAGCGGGGAGGAAGGGAGUAAAGUUAAUACCUUUGCUCAUUGACGUUACCCGCAGAAGAAGCACCGGCUAACUCCGUG